rnacentral:rRNA from 1 species
UACGGGGGAUGCAAGCGUUAUCCGGAAUUAUUGGGCGUAAAGCGCCUGUAGGUGGUUUAAUAAGUCUGUUGUUAAAGCCUAGGGCUUAACCCUAGAACCGCAAUGGAAACUAUUAGACUAGAGUAUGGUAGGGGUAGAGGGAAUUUCUAGUGUAGCGGUGAAAUGCGUAGAUAUUAGAAAGAACACCAGCGGCGAAAGCGCUCUACUGGACCAUUACUGACACUCAGAGGCGAAAGCUAGGGUAGCAAAAGGG